ACCAGACUCCUACGGGAGGCAGCAGUGGGGAAUAUUGCACAAUGGGGGAAACCCUGAUGCAGCAACGCCGCGUGAGUGAAGAAGUAUUUCGGUAUGUAAAGCUCUCUCAGCAGGGAAGAAGAAGGACGGUACCUGACUAAGAAGCCCCGGCUAACUACGUGCCAGCAGCCGCGGUAAUACGUAGGGGGCGAGCGUUAUCCGGAUUUACUGGGUGUAAAGGGAGCGUAGACGGUUAAUCAAGUCUGAAGUGAAAGCCCGCGGCUCAACUGCGGAACGGCUUUGGAAACUGAGUAACUGGAGUGCUGGAGGGGCAGGCGGAAUUCCUGGUGUAGCGGUGAAAUGCGUAGAUAUUAGGAGGAACACCAGUGGCGAAGGCGGCUUACUGGACUGUAACUGACGUUGAGGCUCGAAAGCGUGGGGAGCAAACAGGAUUAGAUACCCGCGUA
rnacentral:rRNA from 1 species